rnacentral:lncRNA from 1 species
AUGGAGACCGGCAGGCAAACAGGUGUGUCUGCUGAGAUGCUCGCCAUGCCCCGAGGUCUGAAGGGCAGCAAGAAGGAUGGAAUCCCUGAGGACCUAGACGGGAACUUGGAAGCACCCAGGGAUCAGGAAGGUGAGCUCAGGAGUGAGGAUGUCAUGGACCUCACAGAAGGUGACAGUGAGGCCUCAGCCUCAACUCCUCCUGCAGCCAAAAGACGGAAAACACAUACGAAAGGC